AUUAUCUCUAAAUCUUCAAUUGAGGAAGUAGCAGAACCAAUCUGAAGUUCCAAAACUGAGCACAUAUCUAAACUAUUUGGAUUUUUUUUUUAAUGAUUGUAAUUUAAAAUAAGCAUUGCAUUGGUGCAUAUUAAAGAAAAUGAGCAUAGAAUGUUUAAUUGAAAAGACCUGUCACAUCUCAAUAGUUGAAAAUUUCUCGUUAAAGAUCAGUAUUUGAGAUUAUAAGAUUCAACAGAUUGAAUCUGUAAAUGAGAUGUUCUAGCAACAAAAUCUUUCCUUGCAGAAGUGAAGUGUAUUCCUGCGACUAUUUUUUGUUUUUUGUUACAGAAGUCCCUUUUUCUCUACGAAUGGCACGUACGUUAGCACAAUAUGCUAAAUUAAGUGAUGUCGUCAUUGUACAAACAAGAUCUACCAUAGAAUUUGAUUAAUGCUCUUCAAAAUUCCACGAGACAUAAGAGUUUUUCUUCAUAGACAGAAAUUUGCAAGGAACUGUGUUCAUCGAUUGACUUCACCCUUCCACUAUGUGUAAAGCCCUUUCACAUCGGAUUAAUAUAGAGAAAGAAUAAUACUUAUAGGUUUUCCAAAAACUGAUCAGAAAGCUCAAGAAGCACAAUGCAAAGACCUAAUAGCACGAUUUGUUCUGGCCUUAUUACGAUGGGGAAAAGAAAUAAAUUGCAAAGGAGGUAUCUAAGCCAAGUUGGACUUGACAGUAUGUGCUAUUGAUAAAUUGAAAUAAACAUGUGCUAAUUUGGUUAACUUGUAAGUGUCAAAAGAGUCUGGACAUACUAAAGAGCUUUUACGUGGCAUGGUGCACUUACCUAGUGCUCCUAAGGAUCCAAAAUGGAAAGUAGAUGAUGCGGAAGGCUGUAAAAGCAAGU